UCUCUCUUUGCAAAGCAUUGCCAAGACAGAAAUAGAUUUGCAUCGAUUCGCAUCGUGGUCAGCCGUAUAAUCACACCAAGAUGUAUUAAUAAUAAAUAAGUAAAUAACAACAAUGUCAGAUAGAGAAGCAGAUUUGGAAAUAAGAAAAGCUAGAAUUCUAGCCUGGCAAGAAGAAAAAAAAAGACAGAGAAGAGAAGAAGAGCAAAGAGAUGUUGCAUCAGAAACUGCUCGUGUUGCUGGUCCAAACAAGGAUGAAGAAUGAAACAAAAUUUUCUCUAAUAUUGUAGCUAAUUUAUUAACUAUCUUUUUAUAUGAUAAAUAGCUUUUUAUUUAAAAUAAAUAAGUUUUGAAAAUU